ensembl:lncRNA cactin-like
ACGUGCUGACCAAACGUGAUCUUUUAUUCUGAAUUCAUUGUUCCGGAUGUCGUCCUUUUACAUUGCAUGGAUAUAGAAGGCUGUUACCGGAAAUAUAACAGUCAGCGCAGACCGUGUAACCAGACUCGCAAAAUAGAAUAUUUGCUUUGAAACCGUUUUCCCUUCAAUUUGGUGUAUUCACUCUGCGAUAGAGGAGUUUGAAUGUCCUUUUGAACAUGUACCGCCCAGGUAAACCUACACACCGGCCGCCGCCGUUCGGACCUCCAACACCCCAUGGACCACCUUUCAGACACGGAGGGUCCUGUAGUGGUCAUCCUCCUGGACACAUGCCGUCUGCACGUUGCGGACCAUUUUCGCAUUCAGCACUGGAUGACCAUUUUCUCCACAACAGGCCACCAAGAGGUCAUUUCAUAAAUCCCCACUGUAGCAGCUUCUCCAUAGACCGUAGUACAGUGAUUGCUCCGGGAGGCAGCCAGCAGUUCGUCCCUCCUGCACAUCCACCGCACAUUCAGGUCCCAAAGUGGAAUCCCACUCCUGUGGAACAUCAUCAUCUUCCAGACAGCAGUGACCAAGCCGGUGAGGAAUUCCUGAGAUGCAUUGCAACCAACAAGCCUUUCCCAGACUAUCUCAAAGGGAACAUGGCAUACAACCUGGCUGAUGCAUUUCAGUCAGCAAUUGUCCUUAAAGAAGCAGUAAAAUUAAACCCUGAGUUCCAGAAGCAUGCAACCGGGAGCAAAAGCCGUAGUCGAAGCCGCUGCAAAUCUCGAGCCAAGAGCCGUGCAAGAAGCAAAAGCAGAGAACCCAGCCGAAGCAGAGGAAGGAGCAAAAGCUGUGCUCGUGGAAAGAGCAGGGCGAGAAGCACGAGCAGGGCAAGAAGUAAGAGCAGGGCAAGAAGCACGAGCAGGGCAAGAAGUAAGAGUAGGGCAAGAAGUAAGAGCAGGGCGAGAAGCAAGAGCAGGCCUCGCAGUAGAAGUCUGAGCCAGAACCGAAGCAAGUCGAAGAGUCAUAUACGGAGCAAGAGCCGGGUCAGGAGGUCCAAGUCACGAAGUAGCAGUGUUGAAAAGAGCCAUGGCAAAAAGAGAAAGAGGAGCCCCAGCCACAGCUUCAGCAGCAGUCUUAAUCAGACAGGGAAUAGUCUGUUAGAAGGACUGAAGCUGGUCAUGAACAGCAAAGAAGUGGGAGAGCGGUUGCCCACCCUCAAAGAUGCCAUCUUCACUAUUCAGGCCUUGGAUGAAAGCAAAGAAGUGGAGUGUGUGACUAAUGCGCACAGACAUCAGCAACAUGACAGUAAUGACAAUUCAACAUCAUUGGAAAAUGACAGUAUGCUCCUUCCCCAUGACAGAGUAGGCAGUGACUUCUCUUGGCUCCAGGCACAAAGUCAGGAGGAUGAAGAGUCGUUCUUGUAUGGGAGUGAAGACAAUGGCAGAAAACUAACCAAUACAUCCUCUACCAUAGCACCACAGGAAGUAGAUAGUUCAGGGAGACAACAUUAUCAUCAGAACAAGUCCAUUUUCAGUAACUUUGAGGAUCUGCUUAAUCUGAAACAACCCAUUCAAAUGACUUCCUCAACUGCCGCUGCAAAUCUGGACAGCAGUGAGUGUGAGAAGAUCAAAAACAUAUUAAGAAAUCUGGACACAGCAGACGUCAGCGACAUCAUGCGUAAGAUUCAGGGGCAAAAGGAGGCGAAGCAGCGGUCGCCUGCACUUCCCUGUUCAGAGCGAACAGCAGCAGGCUUAACGUUGCCAGCACUGAGUAACCCCGAUGUACGGCAAGCUCUGGAGUCUUUACAGUCACUGAUUAAAGCAACAAAAGAGAAACGUGAAAAAAGUGAUGGCAGCGGCGCAUCUCAGUCAUCCUGUGAUAAUCACAAGGCAGGUGAUGAUGAGAAACAAGCCCGAAUUAAAAGAAUGGAAUCCUUGAUGAAAGAACUGGAAGGAUUGUUGAAACAGGAUGGUUUGAGUUUUCUGACACCAGUAAUUGGGUUUUACUGCCAGGAAUGUGAGGAGUUCAUUGCAGAUUUGAAAAGUGCUGAAAACCAUGCAGCUAUCCACCGCCAGAGUAACUCUAGCAGUAAAGUGCAGAUAGACAAGCAUGCUGAAGACAGCAAGGGACACGAGGGCCAUUUGAGCAACAGCACUCUGUCUCCACAGCCUUCAGGCAGCAGAGAUCACAGGACCUACGAUUUCAUUAGAGAGUCAGGAGAUCACAGGAAUCCCCGACACUACCAACAACACUGGAGGGAAGAAAGAGAUCUUGAAAGCAAAAAUCACAACGAGUGCAGAAGCCAGGGGGACAGGAAGGAAGACCUCUCCUUGAAAGAGGAGAAAAUGAGGGAGAGGAUGCUCAUAACUGUCUCCCAUGGACAGACCCCUCCUUCAAACGUCAGGGUCAAGGAGAAGGUAGACAAGGAGCAGAUCAUUGGAAGCCAUAGCAAAAUCAAAGUGGAGGACACAGACGGCAAGGAAAAAUCAUCCAAGGGAGAGAAAAAAAGCAAAGUAAAAGAUGAAAGCAGUGAUAGUAGUGAUGAUGACAAAGUAAAAACACCGAAAGAAAAAUCACCCAAAAAGAAAAAGAAGAAGAAGGAGAAGAAGAAGAAGAAAAAGAAGGAGAAGGAGAAGAAGGAGAAGUCCUAAUUGUUGUAUUAUGCUUGACUGAGAUGAAGUGAUGUUGAUGCUUGUUGCUCCCCAAGUGUUCUCAUUACACUGUUGUGGUUAUAUUUAAUUGGUAUGAUCAGAAGAGGGAGGGAGGCCUCAGUGAGUGAUUCAUCAUUAUGUUUAAAGGGGCAGGCUGACAUGUGAGUAAGUGCACUUCUUUGCCAUCAACAAUGGUCAAAAGUGAAGAUUAAUAUGAAUUGUAUCCUUGUGUCUAGUUCAGAGAUGGUUCUUGCCUGGAGUUAGCAUGUUUGGUUAGAAGCAGGGGGAGGUUUGAGUUCUUGUAGGAGUCGGUUCCCACUGCUGCGCUCUACUGGACGCACAGAAUGAUAGAUUUCUGGCUGUGCAUUUUCCAAAAUGUCAACAUGCUUUUGCUAAGUGGCUUCCAACAGAUGUAUACAUGACGAUGGAUACGUUGGUGUAAUCCCUCACAUCCUGGUUACAUCUUUUAAGUCUAUGUUUGAAUCUUCUUUUGUACAUUCAUCUUUCUCAAUACCAUUGCUACUGUGUGCAUAUUUUCCUACAGCAUUGUAGUGUUAGAAAUGUGAUGUGUAUUUUGCAGUUGUGCGUCAUUUGUUUUUCUUCUUUUUUUACUUUUCUUCAUUUUUAUCUGAAAUAUAAGAUGACACACGUCUGUGUCCUGUGGUGACCUUUUAUAAUAAAGAGUUAGGUUUACAAUUUCAGUUUUAAAAGUGAAAUGUUGUAAUUGAGUGAUCUGGUGGAUGCUUUAUCUCUUGGCAGUGCAUUGGUCAUAAUCAAUUACCAAAAAGGGGAAAUUGUAUAGGUUGGCAGAGUCCUUGACGGGUAGUGUUAUAGAAAGUAAUGCAGAAUUUCUUACAUCAUACGUUUAUUAUUAAAACUACGUUGUGGUGGCAAAUGUAAUUGCUGCCUGUAUUCUAAAUUCCUACAUUUCCCUCGGGAUUAAUAAAGUAUCUAUCUGUUCAGAGGAAUCGUUUUUCCAGUUAAAGAAGUGUUACAGUUAUGUACCUCACAGGCGUUGCCGUGUAAGUUCAGGACUCUGACACCACAGAGGAAGUGCUUCCAGAGGCCCGUCUGACAGCAAAAGCACUGGUUAAGGUUAAUAAGUGGUAGUUUCAGUUCAAAUGUUAACAAGCACAUCAUUUCUCAUGCUUGUGCAACUGUCUGAACUUAAAAUAUAUAAUUCAAAGAAUAAUCUAACCCUGGUUCUUAAAAAGAAUGUGUCAAUGUUUUUUUGUUUUUUUUAUGUGUAAACAAUUUCCGCCCAGCUGUACUUCGUCCGUACGUCACAAAUUCAAAUACCAAGAGAGUGGCCACCACAUCUAUACACAGAUAUACUCAACCACAAGGCCACACACCCAUACAACUAUGCACAUACUGUACAUAUGUCGACAUGAAUUAUGGAACAUACACAUCCACACACAUGCAACACAUUAUUACAAUGAGAUGUAAAUAUUGAGUCUAAUACUCAGGGAAGUUUAGAAACGUACUAAAAUAGAGAUUUCCUUUCCUUACCGUGAUCUCUCCCACCUGGGCUUGACUUCCACAUCUGACGACAUAAAUGGAAUACUCAACAGGCUCACCGGGCCCAAAGCCUCAGCCUUUCAACAUUCAACAUUCAAAGACUUACAGCUACAGUGCAAAUCUUAAGUCCUAGGCUCCUCCAACAAUGCAACUUACAGUAUAAAGCAGAAACAAAGAAAUAAAAUAGUGCAAGAGACAUAAUGGUGCAAGAGAAACGUGGGAAUAAGAACAAUAUAUACAUGUAAAAUAGAAUAAGAUAAAACAGGACGUAAAGUUUAAAUUACUGUACAGUAGAAUACUAUACUGUAAUAAUAUAUAUAUAUAUAUAUAUGUGUGGAAUUCUGUUAUUGUUUUCAGUACAGACCACAUGUUUCUUGCGUUGGAGCCUUUAUAGUCAGACUGCACUUUGUCUCUUUAUUGCCUUUGCCUCUGUUUGAAGUUACAUUUUUGAAAAGUGACAGGUAAGGGUGUCCCAAUCACAUGAUAAACCUGAUUCCUAAAUAUUUAGUAUGUGCUAAUACAUGCAUCAUUAAGCCUCAUACUUAUAGUGCAUGUUUCUCCUGCCAACAAGAAUACUGUAACGUUCUGAAUACUGCAUCUCUCUAACCCUCUGUUUGUGUCCCACAGGCCCAGCCGUGUACCUCUCUGCUGGCAGUCUGUGCCUCAUUCCAGGUUGUUGGAUGUGGAUCUUUGUCCUCUUGCUCUCCCUCUGUCCCAUCUGUGUGAAUGGUGUGCUUGAGUUUUGCCUCUUGUGUGUUUGUGUAGUGGUGGAAAGGUUUGUGUCUCAAGUCCCAUCUGUUUGAGACAGCUGGAAGCUGCUUCACAUCCUCCUGGAUCUAGUUCUUCAUAUAUUUUUAAAAUGUUGGUUAAUUUGUUGUGUGUCUGUCCGUCCAGGUUGUUGUUGCUCUUCCUGAAGUUUCUUAAUCCUUAUCCCUAUCCAGGGUCUGAGGUCAGAGGGUGUCAUGUGCUGUACAGAUUCCCAUUCAGGCCCAUUGAUUCAUAAAAGUGUCUUGACUUGAUACAGAGUCUGAUCAAAUGUUUAUUUCCCCUACUUAAUAGAGUUGAAUGUGAGGGAGCGUGCAGUAAAGCAACAUUAAAGGAGGGCUCUGGUAAUGUGUCUGU